UAUAUAAAAACGGACUGAGUUGAGAUUUUCAUUUUUCUUUCAGCUUCAGAGUCCAGCCUGGUCCUGAUAAUCUGGCUCCAGUCUUCACAUCUGCUCCAUGAUUUCAGAGUCUCUUCAAAAUAAAGGUGCUGACGUCAGCGUGGAUCAGACCAGACCAGAAUGGGUUGAAAAGUUCCGCCUCCAACGAAGACCACAGCUUGUUAAGUCACCAGGUCUGACAGGUGAGGAUUCAUUCAGCUGUCAUAGUGAUCUGGAUCAGUCGUGAUCUGGAUCAGUCUUUAUAAUUUUGAUGACCACUUUCACUUCACUGAAUCCUGUCCUGUGAUUGGCUGUUGGAUGGUCCUCAGCAGAGAUAAACAGGACAACAUUAAACUGAAGUCCCACAGGAACAGAGGACAGUGAAGGCAGCACAGCAGCUCCUCAGUGUACCAGGAUUAUAAUUAAUAACCCACAGCAACAGAUUUUGAUUAAAAUGUCUUCAACACAAGACAAACAAGAUUAUCUGCAGUUUCUCUGCUGUUUUCCUGGAUGAGUUUUAGUUUUAGAUCAGAGGUUUUCAGUCAGUUAGGGUCAGGGGUCAGUUUGUGUCAGCUGCAGGAUGAACAGUAAUGAGGCCUUCAGGUUCCCUCUCUGAAUGCAGCUCUGAUAAUAAAUUGCCUCUUGUUGUUGAGCUCUGAUUGGAGUCCUGAUCCUGGUCUCUUUGGACUUUAAUUGUCUGAAUUAGUCCGUCCUCUCUGUGCCACAGCACAGGUCUGAUUAAAUCCUGGUCUCAGUGUGUUUCAGUAUGGUUUGGACUCUGAUGAGAUGUUGGUGAAUCGACAGGAAAAUAAAAAUACAUCAAAGCUGUCGUCGUCCUUCUGCCUCAGUCUCAGAGAGAGAAACCAGCAGAGAGCAGCAAAAUCUGAUUUAUAACAUUUCUCUGACUAAAAUAUUUCACAUCUGAGUCAUAACUGUGUUUUUCUGAGAGGAGAAGCAGUUUGUUCCUUCACAGAAAAACAGAAAAGUGUUUUCAUCAGCGAGUUGUCUGGAUCCUGAUCGGCCGGUUUUAUAUUUCAGCAACAACUGACGACAACUGACCGACAACCAACAACUGAUGACAACAAACAAUUGACGACAACUGACCAAGUGACGACAACUGAUUGACAACUGACUGACAACCGACAACUGAUUACAACCAACAACUGACGACAACCUACAACUGAUGACAACUGACUGACAGCUGACCAGUAAACCAGUCGUCCCUGUCAGUGGGUCCUCACGGAAAACUCUACAGACUGAUAGAGGUUUGUUGGGACGUGUGUGUGAGAGUUGUGUAAACAGUUGUGUGUCAGUGUGUGUGUUUUCCUGCCUGCAGCGACUGUUUGUUCUGUGACUGAGAAACAAGAAGAACCAGAACCUGACCUCAGAUCAGCUGGAGGAGGAUGAUGAUUAAUCCCUGAAGAGAUAUAAUGAUGUUCACUGUGCGGCAGCGACCAGCAGGAGGAGCUGUUAGACUCUAACAGGUCAAACUGAGCUGCUGUGAAGAGCGUUCACGUCUCAUCACUGAGCAUCUCUAUCAGCUGAAGUCAGGGUCUGGAGGUCUGAUCCACAUGAACCUGCUUCAGAUCCUGGAUUCCUCAGGACAUUAACAUCAGGUCCUGACGUGGAUCAGACUGAAACCUGAGGCGUUCAGAGGCUGAGUCCUCAGGGAGUACAGCUGGACCUGGUCUGAAACCCUGGUCCUAGCGUCUCUCUGCCUCCACCUGCUCGUCUUCCUCCCAUGAUGCAUCCUGCCUCUCCUCCCCAGCCUCUCGGUCACGCGCGCUCUGGCACGCGGCGGUCCUCCUGUUCACGGUGCCGUCCAGUCCCGCCGCAUGUCGAUCCGAGCCGGGACGGGUCAGUGAGACGGAUCCAGCAGAGGAAGGGACGAGAUGAUCUGAGCCGAGCCGAGC